rnacentral:rRNA from 1 species
GAUGAACGCUGGCGGCGUGCCUAAUACAUGCAAGUCGAGCGAACAGAUGAGGAGCUUGCUCCUCUGACGUUAGCGGCGGACGGGUGAGUAACACGUGGAUAACCUACCUAUAAGACUGGGAUAACUUCGGGAAACCGGAGCUAAUACCGGAUAAUAUAUUGAACCGCAUGGUUCAAUAGUGAAAGACGGUUUUGCUGUCACUUAUAGAUGGAUCCGCGCCGCAUUAGCUAGUUGGUAAGGUAACGGCUUACCAAGGCGACGAUGCGUAGCCGACCUGAGAGGGUGAUCGGCCACACUGGAACUGAGACACGGUCCAGACUCCUACGGGAGGCAGCAGUAGGGAAUCUUCCGCAAUGGGCGAAAGCCUGACGGAGCAACGCCGCGUGAGUGAUGAAGGUCUUCGGAUCGUAAAACUCUGUUAGUAGGGAAGAACAAAUGUGUAAGUAACUAUGCACGUCUUGACGGUACCUAAUCAGAAAGCCACGGCUAACUACGUG